rnacentral:rRNA from 1 species
GACGAACGCUGGCGGCGUGCUUAACACAUGCAAGUCGAACGGAAAGGCCCUGCUUUUGUGGGGUGCUCGAGUGGCGAACGCGUGAGUAACACGUGAGUAACCUGCCCUUGACUUUGGGAUAACUUCAGGAAACUGGGGCUAAUACCGGAUAGGAUCUCCUGCUGCAUGGUGGGGGUUGGAAAGUUUCGGCGGUUGGGGAUGGACUCGCGGCUUAUCAGCUUGUUGGUGGGGUAGUGGCUUACCAAGGCUUUGACGGGUAGGCGGCCUGAGAGGGUGACCGGCCACAUUGGUACUGAGAUACGGACCAGACGGCUACGGGCGGCAGCAGUGGGGAAUAUUGCACAAUGGGCGGAAGCCUGAUGCAGCAACGCCGCGUGCGGGAUGACGGCCUUCGGGUUGUAAACCACUUUCGCCUGUGACGAAGCGUGAGUGACGGUAAUGGGUAAAGAAGCACCGGCUAACUACGUG